rnacentral:rRNA from 1 species
GACGAACGCUGGCGGCGUGCUUAACACAUGCAAGUCGAACGGAAAGGCCCUGCUUUUGUGGGGUGCUCGAGUGGCGAACGGGUGAGUAACACGUGAGUAACCUGCCCUUGACUUUGGGAUAACUUCAGGAAACUGGGGCUAAUACCGGAUAGGAGCUCCUGCUGCAUGGUGGGGGUUGGAAAGUUUCGGCGGUUGGGGAUGGACUCGCGGCUUAUCAGCUUGUUGGUGGGGUAGUGGCUUACCAAGGCUUUGACGGGUAGCCGGCCUGAGAGGGUGACCGGCCACAUUGGGACUGAGAUACGGCCCAGACUCCUACGGGAGGCAGCAGUGGGGAAUAUUGCACAAUGGGCGGAAGCCUGAUGCAGCAACGCCGCGUGCGGGAUGACGGCCUUCGGGUUGUAAACCGCUUUCGCCUGUGACGAAGCGUGAGUGACGGUAAUGGGUAAAGAAGCACCGGCUAACUACGUGCCAGCAGCCGCGGUGAUACGUAGGGUGCGAGCGUUGUCCGGAUUUAUUGGGCGUAAAGGGCUCGUAGGUGGUUGAUCGCGUCGGAAGUGUAAUCUUGGGGCUUAACCCUGAGCGUGCUUUCGAUACGGGUUGACUUGAGGAAGGUAGGGGAGAAUGGAAUUCCUGGUGGAGCGGUGGAAUGCGCAGAUAUCAGGAGGAACACCAGUGGCGAAGGCGGUUCUCUGGGCCUUUCCUGACGCUGAGGAGCGAAAGCGUGGGGAGCGAACAGGCUUAGAUACCCUGGUAGUCCACGCUGUAAACGGUGGGUACUAGGUGUGGGGUCCAUUCCACGGGUUCCGUGCCGUAGCUAACGCUUUAAGUACCCCGCCUGGGGAGUACGGCCGCAAGGCUAAAACUCAAAGGAAUUGACGGGGCCCCGCACAAGCGGCGGAGCAUGCGGAUUAAUUCGAUGCAACGCGUAGAACCUUACCUGGGUUUGACAUGGAUCGGGAGUGCUCAGAGAUGGGUGUGCCUCUUUUGGGGUCGGUUCACAGGUGGUGCAUGCCUGUCGUCAGCUCGUGUCGUGAGAUGUUGGGUUAAGUCCCGCAACGAGCGCAACCCUUGUUCACUGUUGCCAGCACGUUAUGGUGGGGACUCAGUGGAGACCGCCGGGGUCAACUCGGAGGAAGGUGGGGAUGACGUCAAGUCAUCAUGCCCCUUAUGUCCAGGGCUUCACGCAUGCUACAAUGGCUGGUACAGAGAGUGGCGAGCCUGUGAGGGUGAGCGAAUCUCGGAAAGCCGGUCUCAGUUCGGAUUGGGGUCUGCAACUCGAUCUCAUGAAGUCGGAGUCGCUAGUAAUCGCAGAUCAGCAACGCUGCGGUGAAUACGUUCCCGGG